AAUUUGUGGUGUGGGCAUUUCUAAAUCAACGUUUUAAAAUGCUCUCAUGCUUCAUGAAACUUUCCCCUUCUAACUGCUUAAACAUUGAAAUUUUCCUUCUUAUUU
rfam:Gossypium raimondii chromosome 6, whole genome shotgun sequence.